GAUGAACGCUGGCGGCGUGCCUAAUACAUGCAAGUCGAGCGAACGGAUGAGAAGCUUGCUUCUCUGAUGUUAGCGGCGGACGGGUGAGUAACACGUUGAUAACCUACCUAUAAGACUGGGAUAACUGCGGGAAACCGGAGCUAAUACCGGAUAAUAUUUUGAACCGCAUGGUUCAAAAUUGAAAGACGGUCUUGCUGUCACGUAUAGAUGGAUCCGCGCUGCAUUAGCUAGUUGGUAAGGUAACGGCUUACCAAGGCAACGAUGCAUAGCCGACCUGAGAGGGUGAUAGGCCACACUGGAACUGAGACACGGUCAAGCCUCCUACGGGAGGACGCAGUAGGGAAUCUUCCGCAAUGGGCGAAAGCCUGACGGAGCAAAGCCGCGUGAGUGCUGAAGGUCUUCGGAUCGUAAAACUCUGUUAUUAGGGAAGAACAUAUGUGUAAGUAACUGUGCACAUCUUGACGGUACCUAAUCAGAAAGCCACGGCUAACUACGUG
rnacentral:rRNA from 1 species